rnacentral:tRNA from 1 species
GCCUGGCUGGCUCAGUCGGUAGAGUAAUGUGACUCUUGAUCUCAGGGUGGUGAGUUCAAGCCCCACAUUGGGCG